GACGAACGCUGGCGGCGUGCCUAACACAUGCAAGUCGAACGAGGACCAUGGGAGCUUGCUCCCGGAAGUCCUAGUGGCGAACGGGUGAGUAACACGUGAGCAACCUACCCCGGACUCGGGGAUAACCAAGGGAAACCUUGGCUAAUACCGGAUGCCCUCAUCGGGCCGCAUGACCCGAUGAGGAAAGUUUUUCGGUCUGGGAGGGGCUCGCGGCCUAUCAGCUUGUUGGCGGGGUAACGGCCCACCAAGGCUACGACGGGUAGCUGGUUUGAGAGAACGAUCAGCCACACUGGAACUGAGACACGGUCCAGACUCCUACGGGAGGCAGCAGUGGGGAAUCUUGCGCAAUGGGCGAAAGCCUGACGCAGCAACGCCGCGUGCGGGAGGAAGGCCUCGGGUUGUAAACCGCUUUCAGCAGGGACGAAAUUGACGGUACCUGCAGAAGAAGCCCCGGCUAACUACGUGCCAGCAGCCGCGGUAAUACGUAGGGGGCAAGCGUUGUCCGGAUUUAUUGGGCGUAAAGAGCUCGUAGGCGGUUCCGUAAGUUGAGAGUCAAAUCUCUGGGCUCAACCCAGAGCCGCUCUCAAUACUGCGGUGACUCGAGUCCGGUAGAGGAGUGUGGAAUUCCUGGUGUAGCGGUGAAAUGCGCAGAUAUCAGGAGGAACACCGACGGCGAAGGCAGUACUCUGGGCCGGAACUGACGCUGAGGAGCGAAAAGCGUGGGGGAGCGAACAGGAUUAG
rnacentral:rRNA from 1 species